rnacentral:lncRNA from 1 species
GCCAUUGGAAGGGGUGCCUCUCCCUGAAGGUGGAUCUCUGAAGGAGGCAGGCCAGGCCUUCCAGCAAAGCUUUCUUUGCCUGGUGUGGUUGUCUAUCUCUCCAGGGGACAGCAAGUGACCGGCACAGAGGUGAGGCAUGACACGUGGCAUGGCGCUGGCUGGGCCCUGGAAGAGGAUGCUCCAAAGCCUGCUUCCUUCCCCCAGGAGCUGUGUUUUUCAGUAGCACUUCAGCCAGUGGGCUUGUCGGUUGUUUGUUGUUGUGAUAAAAUACUCAGGCCAAAAGUGACUUGUGGAGGAAAGGGUUAUUUGGUUUCUAUGUCCAGAUUAUGGUCCACCUCGAAGGAAGUCAGGGAAGGAACUCAAGCAAGAACUAUGGCGGAACCUUAUUUGUUGGCUCACUCUCUGGCUUAUGUCAGCUAGCUUUCUUAUACAACCCAGCACCUCUUGCCUAGAGAUGGUACAGCCCAGAGUGGGCUGGGCCUUCCCACAUCAAUCAGUAAUCAAAAUAGUAGCUCACAGGCCAAUCUGAUCUGGGCAAUUCUUCAACUGAGCUACCUUCUUCACAGGUGGUUCUGGAGUGUAUCAAGUGGAGCAUUAAAGGUAAGGAAUGUAGCUGCCUCAUAUGGAGAACUGAGUGCUCAGAUGUGUGCCCAUGUAUGGUCACAUGGCAGAGAGAGAGAGAGAGAAAGAGAGAGGAAGAAAAA